rnacentral:rRNA from 1 species
GUGCCAGCAGCCGCGGUAAGACGGAGGGCGCAAGCGUUGUUCGGAAUCAUUGGGCGUACAGGGUGCGCAGGCGGCCUGGCAUGUCCGAUGUGAAAGCCCGGGGCUCAACCCCGGAGGCGCAUUGGAAACUGUCUGGCUUGAGUCCGGGAGGGGCCAGUGGAAUUCCUGGUGUAGGGGUGAAAUCCGUAGAUAUCAGGAGGAACACCGGCGGCGAAAGCGACUGGCUGGACCGGGACUGACGCUGAGGCACGAAAGCGCGGGUAGCAAACAGGAUUAGAAACCCCAGUAGUCC